rnacentral:tRNA from 1 species
GCCUUCGUAGCUCAGCUGGUCAGAGCACCUCGCUCGUAACGAGAAGGCCGCCGGUUCGAGUCCGGCCGAAGGCU